GAGUUUGAUCGUGGCUCAGGAUGAACGCUAGCGGCAGGCCUAACACAUGCAAGUCGAGGGGUAGAGUUAGCUUGCUAACUUGAGACCGGCGCACGGGUGCGUAACGCGUAUGCAAUCUACCUUGUACAGGGGGAUAGCCCAGAGGAAAUUUGGAUUAAUACCCCAAUAGUGUUAUUGGAUGGCAUCAUUUGAUAACUAAAGUUCCAACGGUACAAGAUGAGCAUUGCGUCCCAUUAGCUAGUUGGU
rnacentral:rRNA from 1 species